rnacentral:rRNA from 1 species
GAGGAGCCCGAAGACAGGUGCUGCAUGGCUGUCGUCAGCUCGUGUCGUGAGAUGUUGGGUUAAGUCCCGCAACGAGCGCAACCCUUAUCUUCAGUUACCAUCAUUCAGUUGGGGACUCUGGAGAUACUGCCCCGGUUAACGGGGAGGAAGGUGGGGAUGACGUCAAGUCCUCAUGGCCUUUAUAUCCAGGGCUACACACGUGCUACAAUGGUCCGUACAAAGGGUUGCGAGCCUGCGAGGGUGAGCUAAUCCCGUAAAGCGGAUCUCAGUUCGGAUUGGAGUCUGCAACUCGACUUCAUGAAGUUGGAAUCGCUAGUAAUCGUGGAUCAGCAUGCCACGGUGAAUACGUUCCCGGGCCUU